UGGGGAAUCUUGCACAAUGGGGGCAACCCUGAUGCAGCGACGCCGCGUGAGCGAUGAAGCCCUUCGGGGUGUAAAGCUCUUUUCGGCAGGGAAGAUCAUGACGGUACCUGCAGAAUCAGCUGCGGCUAACUACGUGCCAGCAGCCGCGGUAAUACGUAGGCAGCGAGCGUUGUUCGGAGUUACUGGGCGUAAAGGGUGUGUAGGCGGUGCUCUAAGUGUGGUGUGAAAUCUCCCGGCUCAACUGGGAGGGUGCGCUACGAACUGGAGUGCUCGAGUGCGGGAUGGGAGAGUGGAAUUCCUGGUGUAGCGGUGAAAUGCGUAGAUAUCAGGAGGAACACCGGUGGUGUAGACGGCUCUCUGGACCGCAACUGACGCUGAGACACGAAAGCGUGGGUAGCAAACAGGAUUAGAUACCCUAGUAGUCCCUGAGCGGGCUGGCAAGGCGCAU
rnacentral:rRNA from 1 species